UGGUUUGGAUCCAUUGCUGGUUAGCCAGUGUGAUCUUUUGGGGGUGUUAAAGAAUGUUAUUUUGUCAUGCUGCCAGAAUUGUUUUUUUUUUUUUUUUUUUUUUUUUUUUUUUGGUUCCUUCUCAUUUAGGUAGACUGUCAGAAGUCACAUAUGAGACUCAAGGCUGCCGUUCAGAUUCUUUAGUCCCACGGGGUGCUCCCUUGAUUUGAUUCUCUACCCCUUCUUCUAGGGAUGGGGCUUCCUGAGAGCCGAUCUGAAGUGAUUUUUACUUCUCUUCUGGAAUUUAGCAGAUCUACCAGGCUCCACACUGAUACUGGGCAGUGUCUGCAGAGUUCUGUGAUUUGAUCCAUCUUCAGGUUUCUCAGCCAUGGAUACCAGCUUCUGCUCUGGUAGAAGUAAGCAAAGGAGUGAAACAGAUUCCGUGAGGGUCCUUGGUUUAUUUUUGCUAAGUGUGCUGGUUUUGUGUCAGUUAGUCUCCAGCCGGGAUGUGGCACUUUCAAGAGUGCAUCAACUGCAGUAGUAUAGAUAGGAUACAAGCUUGCCCUAGGGCCAGGCAUUGGGUGAGGUCAUAGAGCUCUCAAGACAUUAUGUCCUUGGUCUUCAACUACCAGGGUGGAUAGAGAAGAACUGUCAGGUAGGCACAGGGUUAAGGGUGUCUGAGAUCAGACUCUUUUUGCGUGGGGUUUGCUGCAGCAGCUGUGGUGUAUGGGGGUGUGGUUCUCAGGCCAAUGCAGUUCUGUUUCCAGAGGUAUUAUGGCUGCCUCUGCUGCAUCACAGAGGUCACCACGGAAGUGGGAGAAAGCCAUCAGCCACAUGCUUCACCCAACUCUCACACAGCCUGCAGCCCGAAAGACUGGUCUUACUCCACCAUGCUUCCCCAAUGACACCAAGUUUAUUUCCAGGCAGCAGAUGAGCAAGGCUGAGAACGUGCCCCAGAGUACAAGUCUUUCAACUAAGAAGAUACGUCGACUCACAGUUCCUUGGCUGUCCCAUGGAGCCAGCAGCAGCAAUCCCCCUCCUUCAAAGGAUGUAUGGAGUAUCUCAGCUUUCCUGAACCCCCAGAUGGGACCAUCUAGCUGCAGGAAAACAAGGUCAGGGCUCCCACAGAUUCUGCACUAUGGUGAGUUGUAUAAUUAUUUUAUUAUAUAUUACAAUGUAAUUAUAAUAGAAAUAAGGUGCACAAUAAAUGUAAUGUGCUUGAAUCUUCCUGAAAUCAUCUCCCCUCACUGCCCUCCUAUUUUCCUACCUAGCCCGUGGAAAAAUUGUCUUCCAUGAAACCUGUCCCUGGUGCCAAAAAGAUCGAGGACCACUGAUGUACAGUAUUGUUGUGAUUGGUCUUUGGUCCUAAGUUUUCAUCCUUGCUUAUUUCUUAUAUAUAUUACAAUAAAAAUGUCUACAGGAACCAUUUU
rnacentral:lncRNA from 1 species